AUGAUUUUGACCCCACUGUUUACCUCCUGCUGAUUUUCUGCCGCAGUUCCUGACUGCAAUUAUAUAUGUACACCUCCCUACUCUGACAUCUUUUUUAGGCUAAAUGCUGGUGGUGACAGCGAAGUGGUGCUGUUGACCAGAACUCGAGCAGCUCAGUCCCACCCCAGGAAAUGACAUCAUUACUUUAUAAAUGAGAUUCAUGUUCUAAACUUGUAUUCCUGCAGAAACAGGCACAAUAAAGGCUGCUGAACUGAGAGCAAACUUUUAUAUAUGCUUCAUGACAAAAAUGUUUAUUAUUAUAUACAUUUAUGCGGUUCUCUUGUCUUUAGUCACAGAUGAUGUUCUGGGAGUGACACUGGAGCAAAAAGAUCUCUUUAUGACUAAAGGUGAGGACAAAACUGUGUAUAUCAGCUGCAAAGUGACCGGAUUAAGCACUGACUAUGUCCACUGGUACCAAGAGAAAGACGGUGAAGCUCUCACAAGGAUCCUAUACGUAGAAAGUGGAAGCUCACCGGUUGAGGAUCCUAACCAUCCUGAAGCAACGGACUUCAGUGUUAGGAUACAGUCUGAUAAUUAUGAGCUGAAGAUAGCAAGACUGAAGAAAAGUCACUCAGCAGUGUAUUACUGUGCCAGCUGGGACUACAGCAGUGAUGCACAGUGAAUGAAUUAAUUACAGUGUAAACAAAAAACCUGACGAUACACAACCACAACAGAAAAAGUGUGUGUGGAGUAGCAAAGUUUGUUAAGC